AAUCAACGCUGGCGGCGUGCCUCAGACAUGCAAGUCGAACGAUUAAAGCUCUCUUCGGAGAGUGCAUAGAGUGGCGCACGGGUGAGUAACACGUAAGUAAUCUACCCUCGAGUGGGGAAUAACGUCCGGAAACGGGCGCUAAUACCGCAUAAUGCAGCGGCAUCAUAAGAUGACAGUUGUUAAAGAUUUAUCGCUUGAGGAGGAGCUUGCGGCAGAUUAGCUAGUUGGUAAGGUAACGGCUUACCAAGGCUACGAUCUGUAACCGGUCUUAGAGUACGGUCGGUCACACUGACACUGAAUAACGGGUCAGACUCCUGCGGGAGGCAGCAGUCGGGAAUUUUGGGCAAUGGGCGAAAGCCUGACCCAGCAACGCCGCGUGAAGGAUGAAGUAUUUCGGUAUGUAAACUUCGAAAGAAUAGGAAGAAUUAAUGACGGUACUAUUUAUAAGGUCCGGCUAACUACGUGCCAGCCGCCGCGGUAAGAC
rnacentral:rRNA from 1 species